rnacentral:rRNA from 1 species
CCUACGGGCGGCAGCAGUGGGGAAUAUUGCACAAUGGGGGGAACCCUGAUGCAGCGACGCCGCGUGGGUGAAGGAGUGCUUCGGCAUGUAAAGCCCUAUCGGCAGGGAAGAAGCAAGACGGUACCUGACUAAGAAGCCCCGGCUAACUCCGGGCCAGAAGCCGCGGUAAUACGUAGGGGGGGAGCGUUAUCCGGAUUGACUGGGGGUAAAGGGAGCGGAGACGGGAAUGCAAGUCAGGGGGGAAGGCCCGGGGCCCAACCCGGGGACUGCCCUUGAAACUGCAUGGCUGGAGUGCGGGAGGGGAAGGCGGAAUUCCGGGUGUAGCGGUGAAAUGCGUAGAUAUCAGGAGGAACACCGGCGGCGAAGGCGGCCUGCUGGACCGCGACUGACGUUGAGGCGCGAAAGCGUGGGGAGCGAACAGGAUUAGAUACCCUUGUAGUC